rnacentral:rRNA from 1 species
GGUGCCAGCAGCCGCGGUAAUUCCAGCUCCAAUAGCGUAUAUUAAACUUGUUGCAGUUAAAAAGCUCGUAGUUGAAUUUUAGCGUGUUCGAGUUUGCCAUUCGUUUGGCUUUUUCGAGUUCGCUUUUGGGUUUUCCCUUUUUACUUUGAGAAAAUUAGAGUGUUUCAAGCAGACUUUUGUCUUGAAUACUUCAGCAUGGAAUAAUAGAGUAGGACUUUGGUUCUAUUUUGUUGGUUAUUGAACCUUAGUAAUGGUUAAUAGGAACGUUGGGGGCA